rnacentral:lncRNA from 1 species
AGGCUCCUCACCCCAACCCCCCUCCCUACUCCCGCCAGACUCAGCUGCUCUCCCCGGGAGCUGGGGAGCCGGGGGCGGGCAGCCGCGUCUGUCCUGCCCCUCCUCGCCCCCUCCCCCGCAGCCUGAGGAGGGCGUUAAGCAAGGGGCUUCGGAGAAAUUAGAACCAGCGUUCUAAAUUAAGGGGAGCAGAUGUCCUUGUUUUGCUCGCGAGGCCUGGGUGGCCUGCUGUUCAGACAGAAAUCGUUGAGGCGCUGACCUUCCGGGACUGCUGUCAAUCUCCGCGUGCAGAUGGCCAGCCCGGAGCCUCGCCGCUCCCCUGCAUUGGAAAUGCGGCAGCCGGGGGUGCCGGCAGCUUGAGAGAAAAGUCUGCGUGGAGGGGGGGUGGGGGGGAUGAGGGGAGGCCCGGGGAGACAGAGGGCAGGAGAAAAAGGCCGGCCCCGCUCACAAUGGAGCCCCUGUGGCGGCCCCUCCGAGACAAUGCGGUCCCCCGGGACCCGCGGUGGGUUGCGCCAGGCCAGUCCGCGCUCCAGCUGCCUCUUCAGAACAAGGCAGUGCAAAUGUGCCCACUUGAUUCUAAAUCCUCUUAGGCGCUGUCCAUGUGAACAAGGAAAGGGGUGGCCCUACGAUCCUUUACAAUCGGAGGCCUGGGGAGGCCUGGGAGCCCUGGAGCUCCGGAAAAUGUCUGCACCACGCAUGCAAAUGGGUCAUUUCGCUUGGAGAGAGGCAUCUGGCGACAUCGGCAGAAAGGCUCUCUGCCCGGUAGACGGUGAACAAAACCCACAAAACCAGCCAGCCAACAGCGUGCACUAAACACCCCUCUCUGGCCCUUCAAUGCCACCCGGAGUCCUGAAACAUUUUCAGGUUGUUUCCCCUGGAGAGACGUCCCAUGAAAUGUUCAGAAAAGCCAGCUGAGCUGUGCAAAGUCAUUAGUCACCCAGGAUUGGAUGCUCCACGAAGCCCUCACCAGAACAGAUGCUGGCACCAUGCUUCCUGUACAGCCCACAAACUGCAAGCCAAAUAAACUUCUUUUCCUUGUAAAUUA